CGGUGUUUAACUGGCGUGAUGUGGGACGUCCUACCGGUGGGCUUAGCCUCGCGAGGGGCGGCCCAACUAAUAUCCCGUCGCGGUGCUCUUUACUGAGUGUCGAGUCGGGCCGGUACGUUUACUUUGAACAAAUUAGAGUGCUUAAAGCAGGCUAUCCUCGCCUGAAUACUGCGUGCAUGGAAUAAUGGAAUAGGACCUCGGUUCUAUUUUGUUGGUUUUCGGAACCCCGAGGUAAUGAUUAAUAGGGACAGAUGGGGGCAUUCGUAUUGCGACGUUAGAGGUGAAAUUCUUGGAUCGUCGCAAGACGGACAGAAGCGAAAGCAUUUGCCAAAAAUGUUUUCAUUAAUCAAGAACGAAAGUUAGAGGUUCGAAGGCGAUCAGAUACCGCCCUAGUUCUAACCAUAAACGAUGCCAGCUAGCGAUCCGCCGAAGUUCCUCCGAUGACUCGGCGGGCAGCUUCCGGGAAACCAAAGCUUUUGGGUUCCGGGGGAAGUAUGGUUGCAAAGCUGAAACUUAAAGGAAUUGACGGAAGGGCACCACCAGGAGUGGAGCCUGCGGCUUAAUUUGACUCAACACGGGAAACCUCACCAGGCCCAGACACCGGAAGGAUUGACAGAUUGAUAGCUCUUUCUUGAUUCGGUGGGUGGUGGUGCAUGGCCCGUUUUUAGUUGGUGGAGCGAUUUGUCUGGUUAAUUCCGAUAACGAACGAGACUCUAGCCUGCUAAAUAGGCGUACCUUAUGGUAUCGCGAAGGCCCCCGGCUUCGGCCGGUGGGUUUUUACUACCAACGUACAAACAAAUCUUCUAGAGGGACAGGCGG
rnacentral:rRNA from 1 species